UAGGGAAUCUUCCGCAAUGGGCGAAAGCCUGACGGAGCAACGCCGCGUGAGUGAUGAAGGUCUUCGGAUCGUAAAACUCUGUUAUUAGGGAAGAACAAAUGUGUAAGUAACUAUGCACGUCUUGUCGGUACCUAAUCAGAAAGCCACGGCUAACUACGUGCCAGCAGCCGCGGUAAUACGUAGGUGGCAAGCGUUAUCCGGAAUUAUUGGGCGUAAAGCGCGCGUAGGCGGUUUUUUAAGUCUGAUGUGAAAGCCCACGGCUCAACCGUGGAGGGUCAUUGGAAACUGGAAAACUUGAGUGCAUAAGAGGAAAGUGGAAUUCCAUGUGUAGCGGUGAAAUGCGCAGAGAUAUGGAGGAACACCAGUGGCGAAGGCGACUUUCUGGUCUGUAACUGACGCUGAUGUGCGAAAGCGUGGGGAUCAAACAGG
rnacentral:rRNA from 1 species